rnacentral:rRNA from 1 species
CCUACGGGAGGCAGCAGUGAGGAAUAUUGGUCAAUGGACGAGAGUCUGAACCAGCCAAGCAGCGUGAAGGAUGACUGUCCUAUGGGUUGUAAACCUCUUUUAUAAAGGAAUAAAACGAGGCACGUGUGCCUUUUUGCAUGUACUUUAUGAAUAAGGAUCGGCUAACUCCGUGCCAGCAGCCGCGGUAAUACGGAGGAUCCGAGCGUUAUCCGGAUUUAUUGGGUUUAAAGGGAGCGUAGAUGGGUUGUUAAGUCAGUUGUGAAAGUUUGCGGCUCAACCGUAAAGUUGCAAUUGAUACUGGCAGUCUUGAGUACAGUUGAGGUAGGCGGAAUGCGUGGUGUAGCGGUGAAAUGCUUAGAUAUCACGAAGAACCCCGAUUGCGAAGGCAGCUUACUAAACUGUGACUGACAUUGAGGCUCGAAAGUGUGGGUAUCGAACAGGAUUAGAUACCCCAGUAGUC